CAGUCGCCGCGGGAAUACGUAGGGUGCAAGCGUUAAUCGGAAUUACUGGGCGUAAAGCGUGCGCAGGCGGUCCGUUAAGACAGAUGUGAAAUCCCUGGGCUCAACCUGGGACCUGCAUUUGUGACUGUAUAGCUAGAGUACGGUAGAGGGGGAUGGAAUUCCGCGUGUAGCAGUGAAAUGCGUAGAUAUGCGGAGGAACACCGAUGGCGAAGGCAAUCCCCUGGACCUGUACUGACGCUCAUGCACGAAAGCGUGGGGAGCAAACAGGAUUAGAUACCCCUGUAGUCCCUGUCUCUUAUAC
rnacentral:rRNA from 1 species